UUCCCUGUGGCUCAGUUGGUAGAGCAUGGUGUGUGCAAUGCCAGGGUUGUGGGUUCGAUUCCCAUGGGGGGUG
rnacentral:tRNA from 1 species